rnacentral:misc_RNA from 1 species
UUGCUGGUCGAGAGAGCGGA